rnacentral:rRNA from 1 species
UACGGAGGAUCCAAGCGUUAUCCGGAAUCAUUGGGUUUAAAGGGUCCGUAGGCGGUUUGGUAAGUCAGUGGUGAAAGCCCAUCGCUCAACGGUGGAACGGCCAUUGAUACUGCCAGACUUGAAUUAUUAGGAAGUAACUAGAAUAUGUAGUGUAGCGGUGAAAUGCUUAGAGAUUACAUGGAAUACCAAUUGCGAAGGCAGGUUACUACUAAUGGAUUGACGCUGAUGGACGAAAAGCGUGGGGUAGCAAACAGGAUUAGAAC